rnacentral:rRNA from 1 species
CUCGUAGGCGGUUUGUCACGUCGUCUGUGAAAUCCUAGGGCUUAACCCUGGACGUGCAGGCGAUACGGGCUGACUUGAGUACUACAGGGGAGACUGGAAUUUCUGGUGUAGCGGUGGAAUGCACAGAUAUCAGGAAGAACACCGAUGGCGAAGGCAGGUCCCUGGGUAGUAACUGACGCUGAGGAGCGAAAGCAUGGGUAGCGAACA